UAAGACAUGCAUUUAGAAAACAAAGUGUGAAAAACUUGAGGAUACCUUUCAGACAGACAUUGAUUCUCUGUUCCCCUCAGAAUUCUCCUUUAAGUAGUUUGAUUUCAUAUUUUGUGUUUAUUUUAAAACAAAUUACAGUUUGUGAGCUUGGAAAAUAAUAUACUUUAUUCGAUAAGAGUGGUAUGAUUUAUGAUACCUAAAUAAUAUUAGUUGAUCAUUUUCUACACUUACUGAUGUACUGCUUUUGAGGCCCUCUCUACAUACCCUCCUUGCAUCAUGGCAUACCCCAUUCACUGCAGUGGAUUCAGACUGGGUAGCAAUUGGACAGAUAAGGGUAUGAAUACAACGUCUAAGAUUCCAUGUUCAGAUUCAUUCGAUAUUUUGAAUUUUUUUAUUUUAUAUUCCUUGUUCCCAUAUUUGUGUCAGAGUCUGAGUGUGUGUGUUGGUGUAUGUGCGUGUGUGUUUGGUGUACUUGUCUUCAUAAUCAUUCAGUGUUUCACAGUUGGUGCUGGAGUUCUCAGGUGCGCUGGAUGACAGGUGUCUCCCAUCUGCUGAUUGCUUGGAGGAGUACUUAAGCGGGAGGCUGCCAGCACUUCGAUGCCGGAGUGUUUGCCUUAGUGGUUUUACCUGAGGCUUUGUUUACCUUGCUGAGUUCCAACUUCGUUCCAGAGUUUCUCUGAGGAUCUGGAUUAUCAACUACUGAGUUAAGGAUCCAUCUUCCUGUCGAUAUCUCUCUCUACCGUCUGUACCUUUCGGACACGGACAAAGCUGGCGGCUUCCCUUUUCCUCCAACUCCAGGACCCAAGUAUCAGCAUACCCUGUCCCUCCCUCCAUCUUAAACAUCGGCACCUGAACUCCAUUUGGCUGGCACCAAGAUCACAACAAAGAAGACAACUGAACGAUCUUCCUUCCAAGUUAAGACUCAGAAUCUCUCUACCCUUGGUGGUUCAAGCUACAAUAAUUUAUUGGUGUUUCCAGUCCUCAUCCCGGACUCUGAAAUACACGUCGAAGGCCUGUAUGAAUCCCUUUCAAAAUCACACUAACCUAUUCCUAAUACAGCCCAGGAAGAGGAGUCACAGCUGGAAUCUCAGACCAAAAGACACCUCUCACCCUUUGCUCAUCCCCAUUCAUGGAGGGACCAGAGCAUGCGUCAACUGGAAGCCUUAAAACUCAUGGGCGAGUAAGUCUUCUAUUUCAAAGAAUCCUUGGAUCCAAAAGUGACUAUAUCAUACUGGUCGUAUGUUGACCGAUGUCCACAAGACAAUAAUUGACACCCUUCACAAGGAGAGAAAGCCACAAAAGGUCAUUGCUAAAGAAGCUGGUUGUCAGCAGUGUGCUGUAUCCAAGCACAUUCAUAGAAAACAGAAUGGAAGGAAAAGUUGUGGUUAAAAAAAAGGAGUGGACUGAGGCUGGAGUCAGUGCAUCAAGAGCCACUACGCAAGAAGAAUCCUAAACAUGAGCAGCAAAUGUCGCAAUCUUCGUGUCAAGCCACUCCUUAACUAGAGACAUCAGAAGAAUCUUUCCUGGGCUAAGAAGAAAAAGAACAGGACUGUUGCUCAGUGGCCCAGAGUCUGCAUUUUGAAUGAAAGUAAAGUUUGUAUUUUAUCUGGAGGUCAAGGUCCCAGAGUCUGAAGGAAGAGGGGAGAAGCACAGAAUCCAUGCUGUCAGAAGUCCAGUGUGAAGUUUCAGUCAGUCAGUCAGUGACAAUUUGACCAUGUCAUCUGCUGGUUCUGAUCCACUGUAUUUUCUGAAGUCCACAGUCAACGUAGCCACCUACCCGGAAAUGUUAGAGAACUUCAUGCUUGCUUCUGCUGACAAGUUUCAUGGAGGUGCCGUUUUCAUUUUCCAGCAGGACUUGGUACUGUUCCACGAGUACCAAAACAUGGUACAGUGACCAUCAUGUUUCUGUUCUUGAUUGGCCAGCAAAUGAGUGCAUAGAAAUCAACAUUCAGAAGCCAGACAUUUCUGUUAAAUAUGAUUUUUUGAUAUGGGAUUUCAUUAUCUGCAAAUAUUUCACUCUAUGUGUGAUAUAUAAGUUUAAGAAAUGUUACUCAUUUGACUUUCUGAAAUGAGUAACAAAAACAUAAGAAGUUUUUCAUUAUAUUCUAAUUUUUACAUGUAUCUAUACAUGUAAAAAUUCUAUGUCAGGAGGCCACAAGGCUUUUGUUACAAAUUGUUGAAUAAAUGAAAGCUGAAACUACA